rnacentral:rRNA from 1 species
CAGUAGCCGCGGGAAAACGUAGGUGGCAAGCGUUGUCCGGAAUUAUUGGGCGUAAAGGGCUCGCAGGCGGUCUCUUAAGUCUGAUGUGAAAGCCCCCGGCUCAACCGGGGAGGGUCAUUGGAAACUGGGAAACUUGAGUGCAGAAGAGGAGAGUGGAAUUCCACGUGUAGCGGUGAAAUGCGUAGAGAUGUGGAGGAACACCAGUGGCGAAGGCGACUCUCUGGUCUGUAACUGACGCUGAGGAGCGAAAGCGUGGGGAGCGAACAGGAUUAGAGACCCCCGUAGUCCCUGUCUCUUAUAC